UGUUUUUGCUCCCUGAGGUCUGGGCCCCUGUCUCCUGCCCAUGGCACCUCGCCCAGGGGCUCUGGACAGCAUCAGCAUGGACCCAGCAUGCCCGACUCUCAUCUCUCUACGGUGACCAGCUCACAUGUGCCAGGACCCAGUCAGGAUGGGUCAGGCCAGCAGUGAGAAGUAGAGGCCGGCAGGAGUGAGAGUGGAGGGGAAGAAAGGGCACCCACAGCCACAGCCCUCUGCUGAGAACUGCUCCUGGCCAGGGGGCCUCCAUCCCUGAAGGAACAGGCUCCUAGUCACGCCAGGGGGUGCCGGCACAGCGGGGGACUCUCAUGAGAACGGCCUGAGGUCCCUGACGCAAUGCAGUCAACCAGAAACAUUCUCCACAGCCUUGAGAAGAGCAGGGGAGCCCCUGCUUUAGGUGGGUCUGUCUCAUUAAAAAAACAAAUAAAAACACCUUUUUUUCACUCAGUGUCUUCAGGAAGAGAAGUGGCAGGAUGCCGGUCCUAAGGAAGACGCUGCUCACAGGGUCUCACUGUAUGACUACGGCACAGUUUGUUUAUUCAUCCUGCUGCUGCUGGACAUCUGGGCUGUUUCCCAUUUUUGGCAACUAUGAAUAAAGCUGCAAGAGACAUUCUCGUAUAUGUCUUUGGGUGGACAUAUGUGUUUGGUUUUAAGAAAGGAAAUACAAGAUCUUGAGGCAGAGUGGUGUAUGUUCUAUUCUAGGUUUUUAUACAAAUGUCAGAGUCUUAUUUAAAAGUGAAUGUUCUUUUACGGACCUUGCAAAACGCCAAAGCAAAA
rnacentral:lncRNA from 1 species